AUACCAAGCAAUCUGCAGCGAUCUGUAUAGGGUGGUAAUUCUGUAGGGUUACGCCAUGGCAGAGAUCUUAGAGCAUAACGAAUGAACCUAGCUUGAACUGAUUCAAUUCGGUUAAUCCAGACAUCUAUGUAAGGACUCCAAACUACAGAUGAAGUUUCAAGGACUGAUCGCACAAGAAUGAAGUACAGUGAUCAAAGACAAUAUGGAUCUUUGAACUCUUUCGCUAUUUUGAAUAUGAAUCCAAGAUUUCGGUUGGCUUGAGCAAUAAUAUGACAGUAGUGGUCUCUGAAUGACAGCUGUGUAUCCAGUAGUACACCAAGAUCUCUGACAACUGAUACUCUCUCGAGACAUUCUCCGGAAACAGUGUAGCUCCAAACAACAGUCUUUUUCUUGCGUGUGAAGGUAACUACAGAACAUUUUGAUACACUUAGCGUCAACCGGUUACGCGUACACCAAUCACAGAAAACAUCGAGCUUUUUUUUGCAAAACAAUGCAGUCCUCUUCGGAUCGAAUGAUGAGGAAGAGUUUUAGAUCAUCUGCAUAAAUAAGCUUACAUCCUGGUGGCAGGAUAAAGCAAAUAUCAUUAAAAAAUAAAGAAAACAGCAAAGGUCCUAGGUUGCUACCCUGAGGUACGCCUGACAAGUUGGAGAAAUUAUCUGACUCGUUAUUUCCAAGUUUGACAGAGAGAGUUCUACCGACGAGAUACGAUCUAAUCCAUUCAGUGAACGUUUUGGAAGCACCCAGUUUUCGAAUUUUCGCAAGUAAAAUAGCGUGAUCCACGCGAUCGAAUGCUGCUUUGAGAUCAGUAUAAAUCGUGUCCACCUGUGCCCCAUCUUCCAUACUUCGAAUGCAAUGCGAUGUAAACUGAGCAAGGUUUGUAGCUGUAGAUCUACCUGGGAAAAAUCCGUGUUGAUCUGUCGAUAUGUAUGUUUUAAUUUCACUGAAGAGAACAUUGCUCACGAGAAUCUCGAAUAAUUUAGAUCCGGCGCAGAGGGAUGUAAUUCCACGAUAAUUUUCUACAUUUUGCUUAUUUCCUUUUUUAAAUACGGGAAACAUGUAUGAUUUUUUCCAGCAUUGCGGAAAUAUUCCUUGCGAGAGCGACUGAUUGAAUAUAAGUUUUAAGGAAGAGGACAAAGCAUUUGCACAUCUUUUUAAUAUAAUAGCAGAAAUGCCAUCUGGACCAGACGAUGAUGAUGACUUCAACUUAUUCAAUGCAGAACAUCUCUUAGACCGGACUCCACACGGUUAAAUGAAAGUACUCGUAAAUGAGUACUAUACUACCCAUAUCGGACAAAACUGGGAAAACUCAUUUAAUGUGUAAAAGACCUCUAUUCAAAAUUGGAGAAAAUGGGUGAAAAAGUACUCAGUGCUGGAAACUUGAGAAGAAAUUGAAUAAGCAAUAAUUUAGAGUAUUUGCAACCAGUGGAUAAUUUUAAACCAUUUAUUAGUGUCAAAUUUACGAAACCUGCACGUUACAAUAAUUUUUCUGCAUUUUCGCUUUCAA